AUGGAGCUCAAGGGUACACCACUGCCGCCCAAGGACGAGUUCGCCGCGGAGACGUCGUCGUCGUCGUCGUUUACCGUGGAGGUGACCGUGCUUUCCGCGGAGGAGGUCGUCAUCGGGGACCGCUGGCGCCGCCUGCUGGACCGCGGGGCGUACGCCGAGGUGCGCGCGGGCAAGUCGAAGGCGUCCACCGGCAUCAACAGCGAGAAGGGCGACUGCAACGGGUACCCCUACUGGGGCGAGGCGGUCCGCGUGACGGUGCCGGGGCACGAGAAGGCGAUCGACGUGGUGAUCUGCCGCCGGCGGGAGUCCGUGGCGGAGGCGAGCGUGGCGGUCGCCGACUUCAGCGUCGGUCCGCCAGGCCACCUGCAUUGCCUCAGCUACCGGCUGUUCGACGCUAAGUCCUUAACGAGGAACCGCAACGGCAUCGUCAACAUAACCGUCAAGAGGCUCGACGGCGCGGCGGUGCCACGUGGUGAAGGGAAAGGCGGGAAGGCCGUGGAGGACGCCGCGAGUGGCACUGGUGAUUCCUGCUGUGGUGGUGUCGCCGACAAGGGGAAGGUGCCACUGGCGGCGGCGCCGGCACCGGCCGGUGCGGUGAUGGGCUAUCCCGUCGAGUUCUCCGUUGCUGGGCAGGCUAAUGGAAAGGGCAGAACUAGUUGA
rnacentral:rRNA from 1 species